rnacentral:lncRNA from 1 species
AAGAGGUACUUGUACAACCUGUUCACCUUGCGUUGGAUUUCGUUGUUGCUCAAUUUGCUUUGGAACUGGUUCAUUAACCUGUUCUUGAACUUCAUUUAGUUCUUGAACUUCAACUCUUGAAGAUGGCAAUUUCCUUGGCAACUUCAAAACAUCCAAUAAAGGUUCUUCAACUUGAGUCUUAUGAUCUUUAUAUUGUGUUGAUUCAUUAGUUUC